AAUUUGUCUGUUGGGAGAUAAAAUAUUUAUAUAACUUUCCUGUUAUGUUCAAUCAUCACAGUACUACAGGUUUUUAUUCUUCUUUUUUUUUUUUGUCCUGGCUCUUCUUCAGGAACAUCAUCAUAUCAGGAACAGAAUGAUUCAAUCUGGCUUCAAGGAAAGGAAUUCAGCACUUUUCUCAAGAAAAUGGUGAUUGACAAAAUUAUCCUAAAGGUAGAGAAAUCCUGGAUUCCACUUCAUGUUUGUCUCAUCUGCCAGUGUGGGGAAGAAUCAAGAAAAGAAUUCAAGAGACAAUUUUGACACACACACGUAUCUCUAUGGCAACAUGAAACCUCCCAUAGAUAUGCCUGGAGCCGAAGCAAGGGUAAAUUUUAACACACCAAGACAGAAAGAAAGGUAAGAAAGCAAGCAAGCAAGAAAGAAAC
rnacentral:lncRNA from 1 species